AUCUGUGGUUUUGCACAAUAGGGAUAGACUUGUAGAAAAAAUAAUGUUGACGAAAAUAAUUUAUAUUUUUUAGCUAAAUAAAUAUGUCUCAGUUUAUACUAUGAGCCAAAAAUGGAGUAGUUUUACUUGUAUCUAUAAACCGAAUCUAAUGGAGUGAUGACAUUGAAGAAUAUUGCAAAAAUGCCAACAAAAUCCCAAUUAUCUCAAGAAUUAACUGAAAGCAUUAUUAAUGUAUUGGGGAAAAAUGUUAAGGUAUUAUACAAGUCCUUGAUUCGGAUGGAAUCGAGGGGAGACAAAGUAGAUAAUAGAGUACUGGUCAUAACAUCAUAUAGAAUAUAUAUAACUACUACAAAGAUACCAACAAGGGUUGAUAAUGGAUUUCACUUAAUGGAAAUAGAGGCUCUCGAGAGCAAAAAAGCAAAUCAUGUAUCCAUAACACUGAUUCAUGAGCACAAGCCCGUUUCAAUUCUCAUUGGUGAAGAAGGAUCGUCAGAGGGCGUUAUAAAUACGGUUCACGCACUCGCUGCCGCAUUUGAUGACCUAUUUCCUAACGUAGCCAUGGAGGACAUCAUAUCCAAGGUGAAUCUACCGUUCCCUCUACAACCAGUAUGUGGCACAAGAAAGCAUUCGACUUGCGGUGAUUUCUCGAACCAGUACGCAGCGAUGUGCGACCUCUGUCAAACACCAUUUAGGGCUGAAGUAGCGUGGGACAUUGAUACUAUAUAUUUGGCCCAUGAUAUUCGGCUACUGCAUUUAAAAGAUUUUGAUCAUUUAGAUCAAAGGGAUCUAAUACCGCUGCUGAUAGCGCUGCAACACAACACGUGGUUCGCGGGCGUGUGCGGCGACGGCGUGCGGGCCGGUAGCGAGGCGUGGGAGGCGCUAUGCCGCGUGGUGCGGUGCGCCGCGCCGUCGCCGCGGCACCUCAGCUGGCGUGCGGCCGCCCUGCGUCCGGAGCACGCCGCCCGCCUGGGACACGCCUUGGCCCGGGCACACACGCCGCCCGCCAUGGACACGAUCGACCUGUCGCAGAACCACAUCGAGGACAAAGGAGCGACCAGCGUUCUGACAGGGCUGGGCAACAAUCUGAACGGUCUCCGACAGAUAGCGCUCUCUCAGUGUGGUAUCACCGGCAAGACGGUGACGCACUUGGCGGCCAUGCUGAACGACAACCCGGCCCAUCUGAACACAUUGACUCAUCUGGACCUCUCGCACAAUAACCUAAAAGAUGAUGUACAGAAUUUGUAUAAUUUCUUAGCUCAACCGAACGUUUUGACGCAUUUAAACUUAGUUAACACAGAAACAACUUUAGAAAAUAUGUGGGGCGCUCUACUUCGCGGUUGUGCCGCCCGAUUGUCAGUGUUGCAAGUGGGCAGAAAUCCCUGGGGGGUGGGGCGAAGGCCUAGAGAUCCACCGCCUUCGUUCCGUCAGUUCUUCACGUCCUGUCUUGCCCUCACAGAUCUUGAUUUCUCGUAUUGUAAAAUGCCACCUGAUGCCUUAAAGAGUUUGCUGCUUGGUCUGGCGUGCAACGAGAGUGCUACGGGCAUCAAACUGAACCUAUCGGGCUCGCUCACGUCCGCACAGGCCGCGCACGUACUCGAGUCUUGCGUGCACGGCGUGCGCUGUCUCAACUCGCUAGAUCUGUCGGAUAACAGUAUGGAGUUCGAGCUAUCCGGUAUUGUCAGAGCGGUAGGAAAAAAUCAUUCCAUUACGCAUUUAUCACUCAGCAAACUUACGGGGAAACGAUCGUACGCGCCCCCUUUAAUACAGGCUUUAGUGCACGUGCUGCAAGAACCAGAUACCGCGUUAACGUCGUUGGACCUUAGUGAUUGCAAGCUCAAGGGUGACCUAUACGGGCUCUUGAACGCCCUAGGCGGCGCACGACGUCUGCGCACGCUGGACGUGUGUGGCAACCUGGCGGGAGACGCGGGGGCGCGACUGCUGGCCAAGGCGCUGCAGUGUAACUGUACUCUGCACACGCUGUACCUCGACCGCAACGCGUUCAGCUUGCAAGGUCUCACGGAUAUAUCAAAUGCGCUGCGCCGCUCGGUGAGCGUAAGACGCGUAGAGUUCCCCGCAAACGACGCGGCAGCGGGUGGGCGUGGCGCCAGUGAGAGGGUCGCUGCGCUUUGGAGAGAUCUACACGAGCGUUUAUCAAGUAACAGCACGUCGUCUCAGAGUCACCGGCUGCGCGCGCUGGCCCUCGAGCGCGCGUGGUGCGGCGGCGAGGCGGCGGCCGCGCUUGCCGCCCAGGCCGCGCAGGCCCUGCCCCCCGCGCCGCUGGCCGCCGCGCUCGAGCGAGCCGCCGCCGCCGCGCACCUGCUGCUGCACCAGUACCUGCAGCGGUGCGCUGAGGUAUUCGCAGCGAUGGGCGGGGCCGGCGCCGGACUGGGCGUGGCCAGCGAGCCCGUGUCGCUGCAGGCCGUGCGGGACGCUCUCGCGCCCAGCGGCACCACGCUGCACGAACUGAUCAAUGAGGCGGUGGAGAGCCUCGCCCUGGCGGCGUGUGAGAGCGUGGACAGCGCAGACAGUGAGCGACUGUCGAGUGGAGAUACCGACGUACCUGACCUGCUCGCACCUGUCUCCAGAAAUACGAAACUGGAUUACUUAAAUUUGGCCACCCCGCUCGGAUGCCGGCGACGGGAGCGCGGCGCCAGGCGCGUGCGGCCCAAGUCCGUGGCGGAGCAGCAGUGCAGCAGUAACGAGAUGCUGUCGUUGCCGCCGCUGCACGCCGAGGCCGCAGACGCACUCGCCGAGUUACCCGCGCACACACUCCGACAUCUCGUCAAGGGCCGGCCGCGACGUGUAAAGACGAGAGCACCUACGCGCCCGAUAACCGACCAGUCCCUGGAUAUAGAUGAAGGUCUGGAGGAGUUCUGGCGCACUUGCCGCACGCCGCCCGGCAGCGAGGACGUGUCGUCUCUGUCGGCUCGCACGGCGCUCACCUCGCGCUCGCUGCACUCGCUGUCGUCGCUGGCGUCCGCCUCGCCCGCUUCUCCCGCCUCUCCCUCCGCGCUGCGACACUCCCCCACGCUGCGCAGAGACGACACCAUGUACAGCGUGACUUCAGGCGAAAGUACUCCUGUGUUAUUAGACUGCGAAGUAUCGCGAUGCAAGUCUUCCGACGACGUUGGCACCAAGGCUGCGCCAUCGACGCCGCCGCCCUCCAGAUCGUCUGAUAAUGUCAACGCUAUAGGCAACGGGUGCGUGCGUACAGCCGGCAAAGCGCGCCCGUGGUCUGUGGCCGGCGUCAAUGCAGACAACGCCGCCUGCACUACAGAAGGCGUGGAAGCGUGCGUUGGCGGCAGCAUCGUGGGCAUCACGCCGGGCGCCGCACUAACCAGUAACCAUCUUUCAGACGCUAUCCUAUACUAGCCGCUUUAUUCGUGCUAGGCUCAAUGUUACGAGAUCAUCCGUUAACUCCAGAGGAGGGCGAUGCUUGAAUCCCAGGAGCGAAUUGAUGAAGCAUGUGACGUCAUUAUCCAGCAGGGUUGCAACCCUGCGUCGCGUCGGUACGCUGUCACUCUGUCAGUAUUGCGAGCUCACCCAUGUGCCACGUAGUAGAAGUAGAGCUAUGCACUAUUUUAUCUUAUACCACACACUCGUUUAUACAUCUAUCUCCGUACUAGGGUACGUUAUUUUGACCACAGAUGAAAUUGCCAAACGACCGGUGUCUGUAAGUCCGACAACACUAGGUAUUCGUAUUCUGGCGGUGAAGAAAGGGGCGGUGACGAUUAUUGUCACGUGAUAUGGACGCUCACUAUCCCAGGGUGGACUUCAAUCGAAAAGAAUUUGUUAAAUCGACACAAAAUAUCUAUAUAGUUUAUUUCUUAAUGGAUUUAAACACAUUCGCAGCACAAUAAAACCUUGAUUUGUUGGUGUCGUUUGUCGAAUCGUUCAAAAAAUGAAUGAUAGGAAGGUAAUUUUAGAACUAAUUAAUUAUGGACGUCAAUUUUUUGAAACACCAAUUUCAUUAUUUCGACUCAUCGAAACCCUUAGGUUUAUGUAUUAAACUAAUGAUUUACAUUAUAACAUCUUAUUUACCAUACAGUAAUUUUGACAAUAUAAUAUCUAAAUAGAUUUAUUGAUUGAUAUAGGUUUGCAAAUAGAUCUUGAAAUUAUUUACCAUGAAGUAUUAAUUUUGCAAUACCAGGUCACCAUAGACAUUACUAAAUGAAUUUUUAUUGUAGAAUUAAGUAAUGUGAUUAAACUUUUAAUUUAGGUUCAUAUUUACUGUGAUUUUAUUUAAUGUUUAAUCAAUUAAUUUACGUUUCUAGUUUUAAAAAAAAAUCCAGUUUAUACUUCAUUGCAUUGCAUGAUUUAGUGACUUCGAAUAAAAUUUCAGAUUAAAAAUACUCCAUUCACAGGUCAUAUUAAUAGUGUUAUCAGUCUCCUUUGAUUUGUCACAGGGAUAAGAAUGUCUCCGCGGCGUUAUUUUUAAUCUUAAUUAUAUUCUGCUUUCUACAACAAAAACACAAUAGGUGAUAGAUAUGUCUUGGUUUUGACAAAUUCAUAUAUUGUUUUAUUCUCUUACUGCAAAAGUAACCUGAUGUUUGUUACAAAUAUAAUAAUUAUGUGUUUUAUUACUAUAAGAUAACAUAAUAUUAUAUUGUAAUGAACUUUGAAUAAAAUCUUCAUUGCAUUAUAUUGUCAACUGUCACCUAAUCAGCGCGAAUAUAAUGAAAUUUUUAUUUAAAUAUUACCUUUUAUUGUACUCAAUAAUAGUAAUAUUAAUUAUCAUCACAUUUAGAUUAGUGAUGUAUCGACAUUGUUAUUAUUCUCCUUAGUGAAAUAUUUUGUUAAUUUCUUAAUAUUAUUGUCGGUCUUACCUAGUCAUGUUUCAAGGCCUACGGAUUGCGCACAAUUUAUUGAAUUUUUGUUGAAAAUAAAAUUUUCCGUCUUCUACAUUCCGCAUAGUUUAAAAUUUAACGAAUUGGUGAUACUAAAGGAAGUUCAAAUAAACUCAAUAUUCAAUUGUAUGGUUAUUAUUGACUAGUUGGUAUCCACACCCCAUAAUGUUAAGUGUUCAAUAGAGUUUAAUAAGUAUGUAAAGUUCAUUUAUCUUCUAAAUAAGGCUGUCUUUUGAUGAGAUUUCGUAAUAAAUUUUUAAGUAGAGUAGUAUAAUUAUAUUGCUAAAUUAUUUCAUAGUAUUUUUAUAUUCAUUCCGGUCUAUUUGGUUUUAUCUAGCUCUUUGGUACCUACCAGACUGAUUUUAGGUACAUUUAUUUUAUGGUGCAAUUUAUGUCUAGAGCGUUGUGAUAACCUGAUUUUAAUUAUAUUAUAAUAAUAUUAUACAUAG